rnacentral:piRNA from 1 species
UAUUAUUGAACGCAGGUGGAUGUG